GGCAGUGGCGGACGGGUGAGUAUCGCGUAGGGAUUUAUCGUUGGGUGGGGGACAACCGCGGGAAACUGCGGCUAAUACCGCAUGACGCCUUUGGGCCAAAGGUUCGGCAACGGACUGCCUGUCGAGGAGCCUGCGUCCGAUUAGCUAGUUGGUUGGGUAAUGGCUGACCAAGGCUGUGAUCGGUAGCUGGUCUGAGAGGAUGAUCAGCCACACUGGGACUGAGACACGGCCCAGACUCCUACGGGAGGCAGCAGUGGGGAAUAUUGGACAAUGGGCGCAAGCCUGAUCCAGCAAUGCCGCGUGGAUGAAGAAGGUUUUCGGAUUGUAAAGUCCUUUCGGCGGGGACGAUGAUGACGGUACCCGCAGAAGAAGCCCCGGCUAACUUCGUGCCAGCAGCCGCGGUAAUACGAAGGGGGCUAGCGUUGCUCGGAAUGACUGGGCGUAAAGGGCGCGUAGGCGGAUUUGUCAGUCGGACGUGAAAUUCCUGGGCUUAACCUGGGGGCUGCGUUCGAGACGGCGGGUCUUGAGUUUGGAAGAGGGUCGUGGAAUUCCCAGUGUAGAGGUGAAAUUCGUAGAUAUUGGGAAGAACACCGGUGGCGAAGGCGGCGACCUGGUCCUGGACUGACGCUGAGGCGCGAAAGCGUGGGGAGC
rnacentral:rRNA from 1 species